rnacentral:rRNA from 1 species
GGGCCCGCACAAGCAGCGGAGCAUGUGGUUUAAUUCGAAGCAACGCGAAGAACCUUACCAAGGCUUGACAUCCCUUGACGCUUGUGGAAACACAAGUUUCCCCGCAAGGGGACAAGGAGACAGGUGGUGCAUGGUUGUCGUCAGCUCGUGUCGUGAGAUGUUGGGUUAAGUCCCGCAACGAGCGCAACCCCUGUGAACAGUUGCCAAUAUUAAGUUAGGGACUCUGUUCAGACUGCCGUGGACAACACGGAGGAAGGUGGGGACGACGUCAAAUCAUCAUGCCCCUUAUGUCUUGGGCUACACACGUGCUACAAUGGCCGCAACAGAGGGAAGCGAAACGGUAACGUGGAGCGAAUCUCACAAAAGCGGUCUCAGUUCGGAUUGUGGGCUGCAACCCGCCCACAUGAAGACGGAGUUGCUAGUAAUCGCGAAUCAGCAUGUCGCGGUGAAUGCGUUCCCGGGCCUU